GACGUAGGGGGCGAGCGUUGUCCGGAUUCAUUGGGCGUAAAGCGCGCGCAGGCGGCCCGGUAAGUCGGAUGUGAAAUCCCACGGCUCAACCGUGGAACUGCAUUCGAUACUGUCGGGCUAGAGGCAGGUAGGGGAGAUCGGAAUUCCCGGUGUAGCGGUGAAAUGCGCAGAUAUCGGGAGGAACACCGGUGGCGAAGGCGGAUCUCUGGGCCUGUCCUGACGCUCAGGCGCGAAAGCUAGGGGAGCGAACAGG
rnacentral:rRNA from 1 species